GAUGAACGCUGGCGGCGUGCCUAAUACAUGCAAGUCGAACGAAACUUCUUUAUCACCGAGUGCUUGCACUCACCGAUAAAGAGUUGAGUGGCGAACGGGUGAGUAACACGUGGGCAACCUGCCCAAAAGAGGGGGAUAACACUUGGAAACAGGUGCUAAUACCGCAUAACCAUAGUUACCGCAUGGUAACUAUGUAAAAGGUGGCUAUACUACCGCUUUUGGAUGGGCCCGCGGCGCAUUAGCUAGUUGGUAGGGUAAAGGCUUACCAAGGCAAUGAUGCGUAGCCGAAUUGAGAGGUUGAUCGGCCACAUUGGGGCUGAGACACGGCCCAAACUCCUACGGGAGGCAGCAGUAGGGAAUCUUCCGCAAUGGGCGAAAGCCUGAUGGAGCAACGCCGCGUGGGUGAAGAAGGUCUUCGGAUCGUAAAACCCUGUUGUUAGAGAAGAAAGUGCGUGAGAGUAACUGUUCACGUUUCGACGGUAUCUAACCAGAAAGCCACGGCUAACUACGUG
rnacentral:rRNA from 1 species